rnacentral:rRNA from 1 species
UACAGAGGGGGCAAGCGUUAUUCGGAUUCAUUGGGCGUAAAGGGUGCGUAGGCGGCGCGGUAAGUCGGGUGUGAAAUCUCGGGGCUUAACUCCGAAACUGCAUUCGAUACUGCCGUGCUUGAGGACUGGAGAGGAGACUGGAAUUUACGGUGUAGCGGUGAAAUGCGUAGAUAUCGUAAGGAAGACCAGUGGCGAAGGCGGGUCUCUGGACAGUUCCUGACGCUGAGGCACGAAGGCCAGGGGAGCAAACGGG